GACUUCUCUCCAAUGAACCAUCAGAAAAGAAAAACAAGGUGGGAACGAACGCUUGGCUCAAGUAGUAGAGCACCACCAGCCUCGGAAGGAAAAAGCCACAUUGGGAGUACAACACCCCAAGUUCAAGUCCCAGUACCUGCACCAAAAAAAAAAAAAGAAAGAAAGAAAAAAGACUUGCAGAUAAACUGACCUGAAGAAACCGCAAGGACGAAUCUGCCACGUGGUAGGACUGCACGUGCAAAUAUAUAUAUAUGGAUUUGAGGAACACCCUAGCGUCCUACUUGUGAGCUUUGUGCUCAGUGACAGGUGCUUUUCUACGUGCCUUUCUGGGGAAGGUUCCAGCAGUCAUUUGGACAGGAAGCUCAGGUUCCCCCCAAGUGUACUCUGCCAUGACUUCCCCAGCCAACCUCUCUCCUCGCUCGAGCUGGCCAGGCGAGGCCCCCAGCCAGUGGUGGGCUGUGGUUCCUGGGGACAACCUGCAACCUGUGUGCCUUUUUCCGGGUCCCAGGGACCCCGCGAUGCAGCAAAGGGAAGACGUCCUGGAGGGGAUGACCUGAGCCCGGGUCACCUCCGGCCCUCCAGAGGGCCAAGCUGUGCCUCAGUUGUCUCAAUUGAGAGCAGGGGAGUCCUCGCAUUUCUCCUCCUGAAACCAGGGAGCAGUGAGCCUGGGCUCCAUGCCUGUGGCGGCUGGAAGUCAUCUGUUGGAGAAGGAAGGCAGACCCCAGUGUGAUGCCCUCCCCAUAACCCGAGGCCGACCCUGGCACCCACCACCCUGGCCGCCCAUGGCUGGGGUACAGCACGGCUUUCCUGCAAGGACGGACAGAUGGAAAGUGAGGUGCACACCCCAGCAGUGGCCGCUGCCCCUGCAAGCCAAGAGCCCCUGACAAAAGCUGGUGAAGGCCCCGGGCAGGUGGCGUGGCCAGGGUUGUGUUUUAUGUUUCCUUAUCAAGCUGUGGAAAGUCUGAGAACAUGGCCAGAGAGGUGCAGGACUCCACCUCCGAGGGUGCAGGUUUCCCUGCAUGGCUGCUGCAAACACCUAAAAAAAUAUGGGUGCAAAACACGUGUGCACGAGAGGCCACCGCAGACCUGACACAGAGCACGCGGCUUCUGGAAUCUUCUUAAUGCAGAUGGCCCAGAUGCAUGGAAAUUAAGACCAGGGCCAGAUCCCCUUCCUGUGAGCCAAGAUGCUAGCCAGCGACAGCUCCAGGGAAGGUGUGGAAGGGCGGCCCAGGGAGACCAGGCCCCUCACGGCUGGUGCACUGGGCCACAUCUGUCAUCCCGGCCACACAGGAGGCUGAGGCCCGGGAACCCCGGCUCCAAGCCAGUCUGGGGCGGAACUGUCUUGAAGACUCUUCUCACCAGUAAAACAGCCAAAAACUAGACACGGAGGUGUGGUUUGAGUGUGGACUCGUGCAACGGCCAGUGGAGAAUACAUUUCUGGAACAGCUGGAGGGAUGACCAGGGUGAGCCCAGUGGAUGCUGCGAUGUCUUCCAGCCCUGGAUGGGGUGAUGAACGGCGUGAGGUGGCCUGGGCCUAUCUGGUGUCUUCUUUGUGGCUGUAAUGUGUCAGGUCCGAGGUGCCCGCGUGAUUGGCACAGUGGGCUUUUGUAACUUGUCUGCAUGGUGAGCACCCCUUCCGUGGGCUUCUAGAAGGCUCUGUCCCGUCCCAGGAGGGGGUCCUCGCGGUCACUCAAACUGUGUGGGACAUGCCGGGUUUACACAAGGAUAAAGACGUGUAUUUCACAAUAAAAGACGGCUGCACACGG